rnacentral:rRNA from 1 species
CCUACGGGGGGCAGCAGUGAGGAAUAUUGGUCAAUGGGCGGAAGCCUGAACCAGCCAAGUAGCGUGCAGGAUGACGGCCCUAUGGGUUGUAAACUUCUUUUAUAUGGGAAUAAAAUGUUCCACGUGUGGGAUUUUGUAUGUACCAUAUGAAUAAGGAUCGGCUAACUCCGUGCCAGCAGCCGCGGUAAUACGGAGGAUCCGAGCGUUAUCCGGAUUUAUUGGGUUUAAAGGGAGCGUAGGUGGAUUGUUAAGUCAGUUGUGAAAGUUUGCGGCUCAACCGUAAAAUUGCAGUUGAAACUGGCAGUCUUGAGUACAGUAGAGGUGGGCGGAAUUCGUGGUGUAGCGGUGAAAUGCUUAGAUAUCACGAAGAACUCCGAUUGCGAAGGCAGCUCACUGGACUGCAACUGACACUGAGGCUCGAAAGUGUGGGUAUCAAACAGGAUUAGAUACCCUGGUAGUC